rnacentral:misc_RNA from 1 species
AAGUCGUAACAAGGUUUCCGUAGGUGAACCUGCGGAAGGAUCAUUGUUGUAUAACCGAGGUGCGAGGGCUGUCGCUGACCCGAAAGGUCGUGCACGCCCGAGUGCCCUCACACACAUCCAUCUCACCCCUAUGUGCACCACCGCGUGGGUCCCCCUUUGGCUUGUUCGGAGGGGGGCUUACGUUUUCACACAAACUUUGUAUGCAGUGUAGAAUGUAUUUUUUGUUUUUGCGAUCACGCAAUCAAUACAACUUUCAACAACGGAUCUCUUGGCUCUCGCAUCGAUGAAGAACGCAGCGAAAUGCGAUACGUAAUGUGAAUUGCAGAAUUCAGUGAAUCAUCGAAUCUUUGAACGCACCUUGCGCCCCUUGGCAUUCCGAGGGGCACACCCGUUUGAGUGUCGUGAAAUUCUCAAAAACCUUUUUCUUUUUGGGAAAGGGUUUUUGGACUUGGAGGCUUUUUGCUGGCUUCACCUUGAAGUGAGCUCCUCCUAAAUGAAUCAGUGGGGUCCGCUUUGCCGAUCCUUGACGUGAUAAGAUGUUUCUGCGUCUUUGGGUUUGGCACUGUCACCUGCUUCUAACUGUCUCAUUGACAAUGAUGGUGCUCCGGUCACCACCGCUCUUAUCGGUGGGAGGCUUGACCCACAAAAACAAAACCUUGACCUCAAAUCGGGUGAGACUACCCGCUGAACUUAAGCAUAUCAAUAAGCGGAGGAAAAGAAACUAACAAGGAUUCCCCUAGUAACUGCGAGUGAAGCGGGAAAAGCUCAAAUUUAAAAUCUGGCGGUCUUUGGCUGUCCGAGUUGUAAUUUAGAGAA